rnacentral:piRNA from 1 species
UGGUUCUCAGAACGGUGCGUCGGUGGC